GACGAACGCUGGCGGCGUGCUUAACACAUGCAAGUCGAACGGAAAGGCCCUGCUUUUGUGGGGUGCUCGAGUGGCGAACGGGUGAGUAACACGUGAGUAACCUGCCCUUGACUUUGGGAUAACUUCAGGAAACUGGGGCUAAUACCGGAUAGGAGCUCCUGCUGCAUGGUGGGGGUUGGAAAGUUUCGGCGGUUGGGGAUGGACUCGCGGCUUAUCAGCUUGUUGGUGGGGUAGUGGCUUACCAAGGCUUUGACGGGUAGCCGGCCUGAGAGGGUGACCGGCCACAUUGGGACUGAGAUACGGCCCAGACUCCUACGGGAGGCAGCAGUGGGGUAUAUUGCACAAUGGGCGGAAGCCUGAUGCAGCAACGCCGCGUGCGGGAUGACGGCCUUUGGGUUGUAAACCGCUUUCGCCUGUGACGAAGCGUGAGUGACGGUAAUGGGUAAAGAAGCACCGGCUAACUACGUG
rnacentral:rRNA from 1 species